ACCGUUCGGCAAGCACCAAUAAGCUUUUUUUACUGAGUAAUUAAUGUAUUGAAUGCAAGAUUGCAUUCUUGCACGGAUAGAGAGUGGAACACCACCUUCAGUUUCUCAUCUGAUCCCACUUGUGGACUCCAUGAAUGAAGUAAGAUAACAAUCCAUUGGUCAAUUACAUUGCCUCUUUAGAUGGUUUUUAGUGGGCAUCAGACUUGGUUUAGAUGGCUUUUGUUGUGAAAGAAAACUUAUCUUUCUAAAGACUGUACUCUGAAUCUUACAUCUCAUACUUGAUUAUUUUUUUGCAUAAUUUUUUUUGGGCCUGAUGUGUAUCCAACGGCAUGUGAGAUUAAAGAUUUGCAUGAGACUGACGAUUGUGAUUUUGGCCCUGUACUGAAUAAUUUUGGGAGCGACUGGAUGAUGAUGAUUACAAGCCAGGAGGACUGCAUGUGAUGAGUUAAGGCACAAGAACUACGACCAUUUUAGCUCCAGCAGUAAGUACACAACUAAUCAACAAUGCAUUUUCACGACCCAGACUUCUGCAUUCUGGUUGACAGGCUCGCUGGCACAACCACAUAAUCUCAUGCAUUCAGAUUGCUAGCUACACGAAAUACGCCCAGAUCUACGAGUAGGAAUCCAAGAUUCCUCAUGUAUGUUCAAUUUCCAGAAUAGGAAGAACCAUACCAACAACAUACAUACAUAUUACAGUUCUGCAUUUUAAAUUUGAAGACCAAGGCAAAGCCCGAUCGAUGUAAUUGGAGGCAUUGCAGUCCAAUUGUUCGAUUGUAACCAGACGUGUGACUGAAUAUUGCUUCGAACAUGUGAUUCUGCAAAGUUGAGGAAGUUGAGGAAGUAUGGACUCAGAUCCUUUAAGGGUUUGUUUCCAUACUGUGGGACAGCAGGAUCUGAGUCCCACUAUGAGGGAUCAACCUUCAGAGAUCAGCUACCGGUGUCAUACUGCCCCCACAAGAAACAAGAACUUUCUAACCAAGGGCAUACCUACAAGACAGCAGGAAGUCCUAAGGCACGCAUCACACAUUCACAAAAGCAACCUACUCGGGUCCUCCCUGUGCACAUCUGGUGGUGGCUCCUCCUUCUACUUCUUCAUGUGCAGAUCUAUUGGUGGUUCCUCCUCCCCUCCAUAGAUCUUUAUAUUUUGCCAUUGCUAAAGGUACAUGCCUUCAUCCUAGAAGAGCCUGAUUUUUCUUUUGAUUGCAUACAUCAUUAGCUUGCCAGUUUAAUAGUCAAAUAGGAAAUCAAGUUCUUCCUAAGAUCAUGAACGGAUUUUCUAUAGUUUGGUUGCAAACUUAAUGAACCGGUUCCUCAA